rnacentral:rRNA from 1 species
UCAGUUCGGACUGGAGUCUGCAACCCGACUCCACGAAGCUGGAUUCGCUAGUAAUCGCGCAUCAGCCACGGCGCGGUGAAUACCGUUCCCGGGCCUUGUACACACCGCCCGUCAAGCCAUGGGAGCCGGGGGUACCUGAAGUGCGUAACCGCGAGGAUCGCCCUAGGGUAAAACUGGUGACUGGGGCUAAGUCGUAACAAGGUAUC